rnacentral:sRNA from 1 species
CCAGCAGGUUUCAGCUCCAGGCGCCACCACCAAAUAUUUGCUCAAGAGCUCCAAGACCUGAAGGGCAUCAGGACCUCCAAAGGCCAGGGUUCUGCAGGGCCCUUUCCCAAAUAACACCACUGGCUCCAAGAAAGCCCCGUUGUCAGCCUGAGAGAACGGGGUGGCCGGCGAAUGUGAGGAGUAAAGACGCUGGAGUUGGGUGGCCGUGACCCUGAACAGAUGGAAAACAAGACAACUUGUUGAAGAUUCCUCACUUUCCCUAGAACUACCUCCGGGCCGAAUGGAAUCCUAUUCACAGCCGACACCUUUAUUUUAAAGCCCUUUGCGUGUCAUCUUGUUUUCUCAACUAAAUUAUCAAUUAUUUCAGAUAAA